GAGACCCACACACUUAGUUGCCAUCAAAAGCCUUCGGGUUUGUUGGGAACGCUAAGUGGACUGCCAUCGUACAGGUGGAGGAAGGAGUGGGCCACGGCAGGUCAGUAUGCCCCUAAUCCCCCGGGCCACACGCGGGCUGCAAUGGUAUGGACAAUGAGUUGCAACUCUGAAAAGAGAAGCCAAUCUCGAAACCAUAUCUCAGUUGGAAUUGUCGGCUGUAACCCGCCGACAUGAACGUGGAAUCCCUAGUAAUCGUGUGUCAACAUCGCACGGUGAAUAC
rnacentral:rRNA from 1 species